GACAAACAACUUUUAGAAAGAAAAUGCAUAUCAAAUAUUGAAGAUAGAGUAGACAUUAUGGAUCUCUUCAUGUUCUUUUUUCUCAACAAAUUAGUCCAUUUACCAUCUCGCGAAGACUUGACAGCAAUCUAACUCGAUGAUGGGAUCUAAGUCAGCAUAGUAUUUGGUCGAGCAUGCUUCUGCAGGAGAAGAAUGACCCUAUCCAGACUGGGAGAGCUAUUAUUGAAGAUGAGGGCGUUCGUGCACAGCCAAAGUCUCCAGCAACUGGGUCUAAAAACAAGCAACCAAGAGAUCCCAUGUAUCUGCUUAACUCCAUCUUGUUAGCUCUGACGUAACCAAUCCUGAAGGCUUACAUUAGUCAUGAAGACCGUCUGUAUGCCACUAGGAAUCAACUUACUCCAUACAUAACGGUUCCUUGGACAAUCCCUUAGAACAUGAAGG
rnacentral:lncRNA from 1 species